CUUAUGUUGACACGUUGUGAUGACUCUUAUGAAGCGGAAUUCAAUCUGCUGCGCGAGCAUUUUAGGCUGCGUUUACACUUGGCGUUAGCAGGCGACCUGUAUCAGGAUGUCGUCAAUUUAUGGGACACAGACCUGCCUGAUGCCUCGCUGAAGCGGUUGGUAACUACAGUGACUCUCCGGCACUGCUCAAAAUCAACCUGAUUUUGAUCCAUAUCAAUCAGCACAAAGAUUCAGCAAGUGCAAAAUGCCACGAUCAAAGGAAAUUCCAGAAGAUGUAAAAGAAAAGAUCAUUUUUUACUAUAAGUCUGGCAAGGGUUACAAAGCUGUGUCUAAAAUUAUGGGACUGCAUCGAUCCACUGUCAGAACUAUAAUUUCCAAAUGGAAAACACAUGGAACAGUGAUGAAUCGUCCCAGGAGUGGUCGACCCACAAAAAUUUCACCACGGACACAACGUAAAAUCAUCCAAGAAGUCGCAAAGAAACCUGGAAUAACAUCCAAAGAACUGCAGGCAUCUCUUGCUUUAGCCAAAGUCAAAGUUCAUGACUCUACGAUCAGACGGAAACUGGGCCAAAUUAGGAAACACAAGAUA